GUAGGUGGCAAGCGUUGUCCGGGAAUUAUUGGGGCGUAAAGCGCGCGCAGGCGGUUCUUUAAGGCUGAAUGUGAAAGCCCACGGGCUCAACCGUGGAGGGUCAUUGGAAACUGGAGAACUUGAGUACAGAAGAGGAAAGCGGAAUUCCACGUGUAGCGGUGAAAUGCGUAGAGAUGUGGAGGAACACCAGUGGCGAAGGCGGCUUUCUGGUCUGUAACUGACGCUGAGGCGCGAAAGCGUGGGGAGCAAACAGGAUUAGAUACCCUGGUAGUCCACGCCGUAAACGAUGAGUGCUAAGUGUUAGGGGGUUUCCGCCCCUUAGUGCUGCAGCUAACGCAUUAAGCACUCCGCCUGGGGAGUACGGCCGCAAAGGCUG
rnacentral:rRNA from 1 species